UGCCAUUUGAAAUGGCUGAAUAGAGAGUGGGAGAGGGAGAGCAAGGAGAGUGAGAUCAGAGAUGAGAUUGAGAGAGAGUUGGGCCGAGGGAGCUUAACCGAGGCACUGCACGAGAAAGAGCUUGUGGGAGAGAAAUGAAGAGCUUGAUGGCCGAUAUUGGCUAUGGCGGUAGCAGCCUUUCGCUGCUAUGCAGUGGCCGAAAGCCUUCGCGAGGGAGAGAAAAUAGAGCAUUACCGAGAGAGAGGGAAUCAGGCAGAGAGCGUGCACGAGAAAGGGAGAUUAAGAGAGGGAGAAGGCCGGCGUUGGCCGGUUUUGCAGCAGCUGGAGGUGGAGCAAGGCCGAGCGGCCAUGGCUGCGGUGCUAGAGCUUGGGGUGUGGCAAUGGAGGCUGAGGCAGAAGCUGCUGGUGGAAGUCGAGCAAGCAAUGUCUGAGGCGGUGGCCAGCGACGAGUGAAGCAGCGGCAGUGGUGGCCUGGAGCAGCGACUCGGCCAUGGCAGCAUUGCACGCAAGGGAGGCCGGAGCUGGCAGCUGGUUCGCGGCGGUCCUAGGCGGCGUGGUGCGAUUGGUAGUGGCUGUUGGUGGCGGAGCCGGCAGCAGGAGUGACUGGUAGAGGCCGGUGAUGCGGCCGCGUGAGAGUGGCUGUGCAUUGUGAGGAAGAAGAAGAUCGAGGGAAGAGGGAGCAGCCACGGGAGUGAAGAAAUGAAGAAGACGAUGAAUAGUGAGGAGAAAAAGAAAAUAAAAAAAUAUAGAAAUAAAGAAAAUCUGGGAAAAAGGAAAAAAAAUAGGAGAAAAAUUCCAGAAAAAUCCAGAAAAGUUCUAGAAAUUAUUUCGAGACCCGUGGAGCAUACUGGAAGCUUGAGAAUGGGAUUUUGAGCGCAAGUGGCAGCUCGAGAGGCAAUGCCGGUGUGGGCGGUUGGCCGAUUUUCGUUUCCAAAUUGUCCGAGGUUUGACCGGGGAGGCGGUGAUCCUAGAGGAACUAGAGGUUCGGGCUGGAAUUCAGGCCAAGGCAGAGAUGAGGCUUCGAGCCAGAUAAUGCAAGUCCGGAUGCAAGCAGGGAUGGCGCCGAGAGGCCGUUGUGGCAACUAGCUGUGUUGCCCGAGUUAUGUAUUUUAUUGUUGCUUGUAUGUAGCCAGGUGGGCGUUGUGUAUGUAUUCCCUUAUGAGUAAAUGUCGGUGUUAUUGAGCUUAAAUGUAUUUAAUUGUGUAAUCAUCAUAGUGUGAUAGAUGAUUGUGAGAUUACUUGUUGAAUGUGGCAUAGUUGGUAAAGACAAGUUUCGGACUGAGUCAAGAUCAGUAAGGUAUGUUCUCAUAAAUCCCCAAUACUCAGCGAAGUGUUUGUAUGCUAGCUUUGUGCCUGGGUCACCUCUGGCUUGCUAUGGGGUGAGCUGAAGAGAGGUGAAGCUCACUCAGGUUUCGAGUCUUGGUCCGCUGGAUUUUCUUAUUUGAGUUGGGACCGAUUCCUGAGUGGAGCGAAGGGAAGGACGAAGUCUAGUUCCCACCUAGGGCGUUUCCUGUUGAAACAUAGUUCAACCCUUCAGUUGUGGUUGUCGGGUGAGUAAUCUGGUCGAUUAUUUACCGGUGGCGCCCGUAAGUGGGAGCGGGUCGUUACAAUAACGCUUGGUUUCACUAGCAUAUAUUCAGAAAUCCUUAUUCUUGUGACAAUAAAGCAAAUCCUCAUCCUCAAAGUUAGAUCCAUUCCUACCAUAGAUCAAGACAACCUCAAGGUUAGUCAAAUCAAAGUUUAAACCCAAAUCAUAUAUUUAUGCUUUGAUACCAACUGUAAUGCCCCACUUUUCAGAUACAUAACGAAGCAAUAAAAUAUUCGUUAUAUGCUAAUAAUAACCUCGAGCAUUAUUGGAAACCCUUAAUUUACAGAAGCGCUGGAUCGAACCUGCAAGCUUAACUAAACUUAAUAAAAAGGGUUUCCAUCGGAUUUCCUUCACAGGCACAAGUACUGUAUAUGACCUUCAAUACUCUAGAAAAAAACACAAUACGUCACUAUAGGUACAACAACUGUAGGACACUCACACACACACCUCUUACAACCUCGAGUAUCCUAGCCGUUAUUUACAAUACAUAAUUUGAACUACAACGGUACAUAAUGGAAUAAAAUCCAGAGCUAGCUGCAAGACCCAAAGCUAACCGAGCACCACCUCUUUGCCCUUGCUCGAACUGGAACCUUGAUCACCUGGCACGUCUAAUAUACCUGGAACAUUGAAUAUCCUAGGGGUAUGAAACACCCGAGUUAGAUUGUUACAUCUAAGUGAGUGGUACAGGAAAAAAAACCAUGCAUGCAAGAGCAUUAAGCAAUUAAGCCAGGAAAAAUGGAGAAAUAAGUACAAAUCUCUAAAGAACAUGUCAAUUUAAAACCUUCAUAAGUCACUAGCAUCCCUGGCAGCACUCGUGUUGAACAUCUCAACCUCACCUCUAGGCUAAGCCCCACCUCUGGGCACGUGAUCAUGGUCCAACCCCUCACGCCUCACCUCUAGGAACGGCCCCACCUCUGGGCAUGGGAUUUCCCCCCUGAUCAUCGUGAUGUUCCACGAACAAGCUGCUAAUCAUCAUGUUCAAAUUCCAGUCCCACCAACUAACCACAAAAUAUAACACAGAGAUGCAUAUAUAUAUAGGCAGGAUAUGCUCAAAGGAAGGAAAUAUGAGAUGUAAGCCACCAACCAUGUGAUGUUGUGUGACAAAGUAGAAGGAAUAUGAUAUGCAAGCCAUUUUCCACGCACGAAAGCUAUCGUGUUCAAACCUGAUGCAACAAAAUAGAAAGGAUAUUGAUUGAUGCUCAAAAAUGUCAAAAUUUUAUUAUAUUUAUGUAACACCCCCUCUCCUAGAACUGCCCGAGAAGAGGUGCUACGGGGAAAAUAAAAUAAACUAACUGAUAAUCUGAAAUCUGAUACCAUGACUGAACAUCUCAAUCAAUUGGAAUAAAAACUCUUAGUCAAUACAAACUGAAAUGCAUAAACUCUUACUGAGGGACAAUCCCUCAACUGAAAUAUAAAAUAAGAUCUAAUCUAAGAAAACUCUAUAGAACUCAACAGACUCCCAGACAUCUUUUAUCUUGAGCGGCUCCACGUACACACACUACUGAACACUACUGCUAGGCCCCACAUCUGAUACUCCCCUACUAGAACCUGGAGGGGUGAAGAGUACAAGGUGAGCUACAAAAGCUCAGCAAGUAAUAAGCUGGAAAGAAUACUGAAGCUGAAUCGAAGAAUAUCGAUACUGAUAAAUAACUUACUGAACUUGUACUGAAUAAUUACUGUCUGAUUGCAUUCAUAAAAAAUGUAAUGCACAUAAACUGUAAACUAAAUGCAGGUAUGCAAC